rnacentral:rRNA from 1 species
CUAAGUUCGGAAUCGAUAACCGCUGAAAGCAUCUAAGCGGGAAGCGAGCCCUGAGAUGAGUCAUCCCUGACCCCUUGAGGGUCCUAAAGGGCCGUUGGAGACCACAACCUAAGUUCGGAAUCGAUAACCGCUGAAAGCAUCUAAGCGGGAAGCGAGCCCUGAGAUGAGUCAUCCCUGACCCCUUGAGGGUCCUAAAGGGCCGUUGGAGACCACAACGUUGAUAGGUGGGGUGUGUAAGCGUAGCGAUACGUUGAGCUAACCCAUACUAAUUACCCGUGAGGCUUAACCAUACAACACCCAAGAAGUGUUCUG